CAGUAGGGUGCCAUCAAGAGGUGUAUUUGGAAAUAUCCCUAAUACAGGAUCAC
rnacentral:rRNA from 1 species